CCUCCUUAUACGAUUUAGAACUUAUUUGUUCGUAGUGUCCACACAGAUGAUUGUUAAUUGUAAAGAGAACAACACUUAUUGUUUGGGUCUGUAGCUCAGUUGGUUAGAGCGCACCCCUGAUAAGGGUGAGGUCGGUGGUUCAAAUCCACCCAGACCCACCACUUCUUAUGAAGUGUCAUAACAAACAAUAAGACCAGCAUAUGUGGGGCUAUAGCUCAGCUGGGAGAGCGCCUGCCUUGCACGCAGGAGGUCAGCAGUUCGAUCCUGCUUAGCUCCACCACUUUACUUCUUAAAAAUAAAUAUUCUUUAUCAGGAAGUUAAACUCCUGAGAAUAGAGUGUGUUUAAUUUUGAGAAGUUUUUGAUUCUCUGCUCUUUAAAAAUUUGGAAAAGCUGAUAAUAAAAUUCGUAUAGAUAACAGUGUUAUUUAUACAGAGUUUUUCAAAAGUAAAAAAUGCCAUUGAUUAUUCAAACGAAUAAUUAAUUGGUAUCUACUUUAGUAUUCAAUAUUAAACUUUCUGGGCGAANUUUAACUGGUC
rnacentral:misc_RNA from 1 species